AGGACACUGAAAAGUUCUCAAAUGUGAAUUUCUUCAAAUUCGAGAAUGGAGUCUAAAUUCAGAGAAGAUGAGUAUUCAAAUUUGGAUGGGGAGGACUGUACAUGGGGAGGAAGAGGGAAGAGACAUUCAGCUGAAGCUUUGAAGGCAUCAGAACACUCUACCAAUUGCUGUGAAGCCCUGGAAUCAGCUAUUGGAGCAGCCAGGCUCUUUGCAGGCAGAUGAGUGUUACAGCUGUAACUGAGGCAAAGAGCGAUAAACAUAGUGGAGCCAAUUUCCGCGAUGGCGAGAGGGGACAGGGGACACCAGAGGUGACAACAAUGACAAGACCGUCUUCGGACAAGUUUUAGGUAAGAAAAUAUUUAUGCUCUGAUUCUUGUAUUUCUGCAUCCUUGCGGCUGAGACUUUGAGCUCUAAAGAGAGUCUGGAAGG